GACCCCGUAGCUCAGCAGGAUAGAGCAUCAGAUUCCUAAUCUGAGGGCCGGGGGUUCGAAUCCCGCCGGGGUCACCA
rnacentral:tRNA from 1 species